UAAAGAGCCAGAUCUCCCUGCAGCUCUCGCCUGGUUUCCCACUGAAGCUAAGCAGGGUUGAGACGGGCCAGUACCUGGAUGGGGGACCACCUGGGGAAAACUAAGGUUGCUGCUAGAA
rnacentral:rRNA from 1 species